rnacentral:tRNA from 1 species
GGAGAGUUGGCAGAGUGGUUGAAUGCGGCGGUCUUGAAAACCGUUGACGGUGCAAGCUGUCCCGGGGUUCGAAUCCCUGACUCUCCGCCA